UAUAACUGUGCGUGUUUAUGUGAAUGAACAUUCAGUGAGGAAAUAUAUCAAAAGUGUAUGUCUGUGUUCUGCAUGUUUGUAAACACAGCAAAAAAAACAAACGUCCUCUCACUGUCAACUGUGUUUACUUUCAGCCCUCACCCUCCUAUCCAACAGGUCCCAGACGUGCCCUAGCCCUCACCCUCCGAUCAAACAGGUCCCAGACGUGCCCUAGCCCUCACCCUCCGAUCCAACAGGUCCCAGACGUGCCCUAGCCCUCACCCUCCUAUCCAACAGGUCCCAGACGUGCCCUAGCCCUCACCCUCCUAUCCAACAGGUCCUAGACGUGCCCUAGCCCUCACCCUCCUAUCCAACAGGUCCGAGACGUGCCCUAGCCCUCACCCUCCGAUCCAACAGGUCCCAGACGUGCCCUAGCCCUCACCCUCCGAUCCAACAGGUCCCAGACGUGCCCUAGCCCUCACCCUCCGAUCCAACAGGUCCCAGACGUGCCCUAGCCCUCACCCUCCGAUCCAACAGGUCCCAGACGUGCCCUAGCCCUCACCCUCCGAUCCAACAGGUCCCAGACGUGCCCUAGCCCUCACCCUCCGAUCCAACAGGUCCCAGACGUGCCCUAGCCCUCACCCUCCGAUCCAACAGGUCCCAGACGUGAUCAAUGGGACUGAGAUCCGGGCUCUUCGUUGGCCAUGACAGAAAACUGAUAUUCCUGACUUGCAGGAAAUCACGCACAGAACGAGCAGUAUGGCUGGUGGCAUUGUCAUGCUGGAGAGUCAUGUCAGGAUGAGCCUGCAGGAAGGAGGAGGAUGUCUUCUGUAACGCACAGUAUUGAGAUUGCCUGCAAUGACAACAAGCUCAGUCCGAUGAUGCUGUGACACACCGCCCCAGACCAUGACGGACCCUCCACCUCCAAUCGAUCCCCUCCAGAGUACAGGCCUCGGUGUAAACGCUCAUUCCUUCCUCACCCCUGGUGAGACAAAACCGCCACUCAUCAGUGAAGAGCACUUUUGCCAGUCCUGUCUGGUCCAGCGACGGUGGUUUUGUGCCCAUAGGUGACGUUGUUGCCAGUGAUGUCUGGUGUGGACCUGCGUUACAACAGGCCUACAAGCCCUCAGUCCAGCCUCUCUCAGCCUAUUGAGGACAGUCUGAGCACUGAUGGAGGGAUUGUGCAUUCCUGGUGUAACUCUGACAGUUGUUGUUGCCAUUCUGUACCUGUCCCGUAGGUGUGAUGUUUGGAUGUACGGAUCCUGUGCAGAUGUUGUUACACGUGGUCUGCCACUGUGAGGACGAUCAGCUGUCCAUCCUGUCUCCCUGUAGCGCUGUCUUAGGCGUCUCACAGUACGGACAUUGCAAUUUAUUGCCCUGGCUACAUCUGCUGUCCUCAUGCCUCCUUGCAGCAUGCCUAAGGCACGUUCAGGAAGAUGAGCAGGGGCAAUCGGAAUCUUUCUUUUGGUGUUUUUCAGAGUCAGUAGAAAGGCCUCUUUAGUGUCCUAAGUUUUCAUAACUGUGACCUUAAUUGCCUACCAUCUGUAAGCUGUUAGUGUCUUAACGACCGUUCCUCAGCUACAUGUUCAUUAAUUGUUUAUGGGUCACUGAACAAGCAUUAAAAACAGUGUUAAACCCUUUACAACGAAGAUCUGUGAAGUUAUUUGGAUUUUUAUGAAUUAUCUUUGAAAGACAGGGUCCUGAAAAGGGACAUUUCUUUUUUUCCCGAGUCUAUCUACGUGUGUGUAGGUGUGUGUGUACCUCUUUGGCACUAGCCAGUAGUUUCUUAAGUACCCAGCUGUCUUCAGCCCAGCGAUCAGCCAACUUUUUAUACAACAUGUGUUUGUAUGUGUUAUAUAUAUAUAUAUCCAUCUGUGUGUGCAUGUAUAAAUGUACGCUGAGUGUGUGUGUGUGUG